rnacentral:lncRNA from 1 species
ACAAGGAAAGGGGACUGUUUUUUGGAAGAAAAAGUGACGAGAUGGGGCAGCAAAUGCCACCAGCCGGAGUGGCAUUGGAUCCCCAUUCAAUGGUGGAGGCGCCAAAGGUGUAGAGCUUCUAUCGGUUAGCAUCGGCAACUGCGGAGGGUGGCAGUGUUGUGCCACAUGGAGCUGGGUGUUGGGUGUGGUGGUGGCGGCGGGAAAGAGCUUGGGUGGAUUUGAUGAACAAUUCAUGAGGGGAGGAGCAAAUAUUCGAAGAGGUUAGUUUUGCUGCCGGAGGCAGACUUGGAGCCAGCAAUAGUGGGAGAGAGCUUAGGCCGACUAAAUGAAGAAGACAUAAGUGGAGGAGAAAAUGAUGAACACUAUACAAGAAAGGGUCAAUACUACCCCCAUUACCUAGCUUUUGUAGCAAAUUCUAUUUGUUCUUGACCUCGUUUGCGUUAUAGGUCGUUGGGCGGCUGAAGGUUGCCAUGAGUAAGGUUGGGAGAAAGAAGACUGUUUUCCAUGUGUCAGACAUGUACCUUACUGAAUCAGUUGCAAUACAGAUUGGAAUGCACUAUACUAAAGAUAGGGUCGAAUCUGAUACAUCAACCAUCGACUCAAUAUACUUGUACGAGUCCACAAUCAUUGCACAAGAUGAAACUGGGUUCGGUAAAUGGAAGUUGGCCUUAGGUGUUAAAAGAUAAUAUACCUGACAAUUUUCCUGGAUUAUGUACGAGGUGAUCGGAAAUAUCGUUACCUUCAAAAGAUGGUGAAUUUGACAUAGUUUCCAGGAUGAUGUACAAGAGGGUUGGAAAUAUCACCACUUGCAUCAGAUGGUGAAUUUGAUUUUUUUCAUCAACUCAACUACAAAAUAUUAGAAGAAAAAUAUCACUAAGAUAAUUGACUUAACUACAAACGGUCAUUUAGAAGAAAAAGUCUGAAAGAUAAUCAAUACACACAAUUAAAAGAACGAUACUGGAUGGUUAUGAUCGUCUCUAGUAUGUGGUCGGUGACUUUGUAUCAUAACAUAAAU